CGCCCGGGCGGCUCCGUGCGCGAAAAAAAGAGAAGCAGCGCUCUCGGUGUGACAGCUCAGAGCUGUCCACGUCAACACAUCGGAGAGGCGAGCACGGCACCGCGAUGGACUCCUCGUCUCUGGAACCUUCACUCUACACAGUGAAAGCUCUUUUCAUUUUGGACAAUGACGGCAACAGACUUCUGUCGAAGUACUACGACCCUGAGCUCUACCCGUCCAUGAAGGAGCAGAAGAACUUUGAGAGGAACAUUUUCAACAAGACGCACAAAGCAGACAAUGAGAUAGCGUUCCUGGAGGGGAUGACCAUCGUCUAUAAGAGCAGUAUAGACCUCUUCUUCUACGUGGUGGGAAGCGCUCAGGAGAACGAGCUGAUGCUGAUGUCCGUCCUGAACUGUAUGUUUGAGUCGCUCAGUCAGAUCCUCAGGAAAAACGUAGAGCGGAGGUGUUUACUGGACAACAUGGAGGGAGUGUUCCUGGUUGUGGAUGAAAUCAUUGAUGGAGGUGUGAUCCUGGAGAGUGACCCCCAGCAGGUCCUACAGAAGGUCAACUACAGGGUGGAUGAUAACCCAUUAUCUGAACAGAGCGUGGCGCAGGUAACACACACACUCACACACAUGUUAAUUACACUCACAGAGACACAUACAGUGAGUUCAAGAAACACAAUUAAAUUUUUGGUUGAAAACACAAUAAUUAAUGCAGAAUAUGCUUCUCAUAAAGACAUGAUAGUCAUAUUUUUUUUUCUUUACUAUUAACGUAGUGUCCACACUUAUAUUAUUAUUUAUGUUUUGGUGUUCUUUGUAAUGUUUGUUAGACCAAGGGAUCUUCUGAAAGCAGAGGCAGCCUUCCUUUUCUUUUAGAUGUUGCUAUUGUUAGCAGCUGAGGACUAUCUGUGGGUCUUUCAGAUCUGCAACACCCUGCCUUUAUUAUUUUUCAUGGUGUCUUGUGUCUGUUGUGUUUGUGUGUAAAUAUGUUAAGAAAACAAAAAAGGUACAAAUCAGAUAUUCAAAAAAACUACAUACAUUCACAAUUAUAUAAAAUUACAUUCAACAUAAAGACCUAAAACAACUGGAGGAAAAUAGGAUACUGUUUUUUAAAUUAAAGCUCCAGUGAGGAACUUUUAGUUUGUGUUGCUUUUGGUGCCCCCGGUGGACAAAGCAGUACCUCUUAUUUCUAUACUGAUUUUGUCCUGUACAAAUGUGCAUAGUGUUUUUAUAAUGAAAAUGUCAUCAUGUUUUAUUUAAACAGUAAAUGUAUGACUCACCCAAAGUCAUUGCAAUGUAAAAUGUUUAAAGGGCUUCCUUCAGCUGACACCUACCCCCCACCAGCGGUUUCAGACGUCAAGUCAGUCUUGUUGUUGAUGGUCUUAUUUGUUUUUGCAGGUCAUAAAGAGACAUCAGUAUUAGUUUCGGUCUGUUUGCUGACCUGCUAAAACAGCUAAAAAAUCCUCACAGGAGCUUUAAGUGACCAACACCAAGCAUAAAAUAGACCAGUGAUGCACAUAAGGGUCAAGACACCUCACUUUCUUCUCAUACAUAGUUACAGACACCGGUUGGUUAACUUAGCUAACAUAAAGACUGUAAUCAAAGAGAAACAGAAAGCCAAUCUAACUAUUUUCACUUUUACUACUUUAAGCUAUCCUAUAGGGACACAUUAAGCUGUUGCAUGUUUACUUACACUGUUACUAACUUUAAAACCACCCUGCUGCUUCUCUGUUAAACUGUUGGCUUCCAGUAUGACAGAUCUUAACUCAUCCAGGUUAAACUAUACACACAUCAGCUUAUUUGCACGAAAUGGAAACAACGAUCAGCUGCAGUUUGACAUCUGUCUCCAAAUUCACCCGCUGUUCAUUAUGCAUGCUUAGCUAGCAGCUAGCUUGGCUUCCUCUCCAAGGCAACAGCCAGCGCUAAUAGGCUCGACUGUGAAUGAAUGGAUUGAUGGAUUAAUAAAUGGAUAGUUGGAUUAACAUUAAAGUGCACUGGGGCUCUAAAUAAAGGACAGAUGUGAAACUGUCACUGAUCAGUUUUUUUCAUCCAUUGUUUUUCUGGUGAACCUUCUUCUCUCUGCUGUAGUGUGGUGUUCGUAACGUGCAUUGCUCUGUGCUUGUGUACUCACACUCUAAGCUUCUCUUUCUCUGUUGCUUUAACCCUGACAGCACAUAUCAGAGAAACUGGCUCUGACCACUAACGUUCUGCAGACGGCCAAGGAGCAGAUCAAAUGGUCCAUACUGAAAUGACUCAAGCCAAAAACAUUAAGGAUUUUUCUCCUUAAAGUCCCAACAUUUUUUUAAAAUCUUACCAAACUAAAGGGAAAGACUUCACACGCUGGUUUAUGGAGCAUUUAACAAGCCAGUAAUAGCUUUUAAUCUGUGUGUGGUGGUAUUUUGUUACGCUGUGUGAGACUUGUUGUUAAUUUAUUUAGCUUGAGAGCGAUGUUACUCAUGUAGUGAAAAAACUGAAGAGGCCAAAAGACACCAGAAAACAAAACAAAAAGUUCCAGCUGUGCAGGACCAGCGAGUUAGAAACUAAUCUUUAAAAUACUGAUUGAUAAUCUGUUACUUUUAUUUUGGCGGAGCAGGAUCUUCCCCUCAUGUUGCCUCUAUAAGCAGAGUGUUUUUGUAGGAUUUAUUUUGUUGUUUUCUUUUUUUGCUGUUUUGUACAUAAAAAAUAUCACACUAUUUUACAAAAGGAAAACUUUCAUCCCCCAAAAAACCUGUUACAUAUCUAAUUUGAACUCCUCUGCAAUUUUAUGAGUGUGUCCAGCUAUCCUUAAGUACUGGUACGAGGAAUCCAUACAAAACUAAUUAUUUAAAGGAAUUUAAAGGAAAUCAAUAAACAAACACUACUGCAGCUUAAAGAUGGUGUUUAUAAAACACUCUUUCAAUAUCCGUGCACUAAAUGUCUCAGCUUAAUAAAGUUGUUUAAUCUUAUUGUGCUCCAUAAUUGUUUAAUGACUGUACAUUAAGGUAUAUUAAAAUAUUUCUGUUAAACCAUAUUAUUUCUGAAACGUCAUGAAGGAAAUCAAACUUCUGCACAUACAAUAUAAUCUUUAAAGUCAAAGAAACUUAAAUAAUAUGAGUUACGGAGAAUAAAUCAAGAUAUUUUCCUAUUUUCAGAGUUUAAAAAUGUUAAUAGACAUUAAAUAUUUUCUUAGUUGGAAAAGAAGCCAAAGACUAAAUAAUUACAUUGUUUACAUUUGAUUGUUUGUCAAACUGACAUAGAUUUUUUUUGUCAAUAAUUUGUGUAACAGAUAAUAAAUUUGUUUAUUUAUCCU